GGCGGCGUGCCUAACACGAUGGCAAGUCGAACGGAGUAAGUUAAGCGGAAGUUUCGGAUGGAAGCAUAGUUACUUAGUGGCGGACGGGUGAGUAACGCGUGGGGCAACCUGCCCGUGUACCGGGGGGAUAACACUUAGAAAUAGGUGCUAAUACCGCAUAAGCGCACAGCUUCGCAUGAAGGUGUGUGAAAAACUCCGGUGGUACAGGAUGGACCCGCGUCUGAUUAGCUAGUUGGUGGGGUAGAGGCCUACCAAGGCGACGAUCAGUAGCCGGCCUGAGAGGGUGACCGGCCACAUUGGGACUGAGACACGGCCCAAACUCCUACGGGAGGCAGCAGUGGGGAAUAUUGCACAAUGGGGGAAACCCUGAUUGCAGCGACGCCGCGUGAGUGAAGAAGUAUUUCGGUAUGUAAAGCUCUAUCAGCAGGGAAGAAAAUGACGGUACCUGACUAAGAAGCCCCGGCUAACUACGUGCCAGCCGCAGC
rnacentral:rRNA from 1 species